rfam:Dipodomys ordii contig_21515, whole genome shotgun sequence.
GGGAAGGUGGCUCAGUGGUAGAGUGCUUGCCUUGCAUGCUCGAGGCCCUGGGUUCGAUUCCUCAGCCCCA